GAUGAACGCUGGCGGCGUGCCUAAUACAUGCAAGUCGAGCGAACGGACGAGAAGCUUGCUUCUCUGAUGUUAGCGGCGGACGGGUGAGUAACACGUGGAUAACCUACCUAUAAGACUGGGAUAACUUCGGGAAACCGGAGCUAAUACCGGAUAAUAUUUUGAACCGCAUGGUUCAAAAGUGAAAGACGGUCUUGCUGUCACUUAUAGAUGGAUCCGCGCUGCAUUAGCUAGUUGGUAAGGUAACGGCCUACCAAGGCAACGAUGCAUAGCCGACCUGAGAGGGUGAUCGGCCACACUGGAACUGAGACACGGUCCAGACUCCUACGGGAGGCAGCAGUAGGGAAUUUUCCGCAAUGGGCGAAAGCCUGACGGAGCAACGCCGCGUGAGUGAUGAAGGUCUUCGGAUCGUAAAACUCUGUUAUUAGGGAAGAACAUAUGUGUAAGUAACUGUGCACAUCUUGACGGUACCUAAUCAGAAAGCCACGGCUAACUACGUG
rnacentral:rRNA from 1 species